GACGAACGCUGGCGGCGUGCCUAAUACAUGCAAGUAGAACGCACAGUUUAUACCGUAGCUUGCUACACCAUAAACUGUGAGUUGCGAACGGGUGAGUAACGCGUAGGUAACCUGCCUGGUAGCGGGGGAUAACUAUUGGAAACGAUAGCUAAUACCGCAUAAUAUUGAUUAUUGCAUGAUAAUUGAUUGAAAGAUGCUAUUGCAUCACUACCAGAUGGACCUGCGUUGUAUUAGCUAGUAGGUGAGGUAACGGCUCACCUAGGCGACGAUACAUAGCCGACCUGAGAGGUGGAUCGGCCACACUGGGACUGAGACACGGCCCAGACUCCUACGGGAGGCAGCAGUAGGGAAUCUUCGGCAAUGGACGAAAGUCUGACCGAGCAACGCCGCGUGAGUGAAGAAGGUUUUCGGAUCGUAAAGCUCUGUUGUAAGAGAAGAACGGGUGUGAGAGUGGAAAGUUCACACUGUGACGGUAUCUUACCAGAAAGGGACGGCUAACUACGUG
rnacentral:rRNA from 1 species